GUCCAAUUCAAAGGAACUCUCCCCUACAUGGGGAAUGCAGAGGAACACCGUCUGCUCCGACAGGAAGUGCGGGUGGAGCAGGAAUCCAAGCUACAUCAGGGAAGCGAGGAGCGACCUGGACCGGACCACCACCACGAGCCCGAAAACCUGGAAAGGGCUCCAACAGAGCUUAAUCCUUUUGAUAUCUGAGAUAUCUGGGAUAAGUGAAUUUUCCUCUGGAGUGGAGUGUGAAAGCCGCAAGGCUAAAGUCAUAAUAAAUUAUUUAUUAAUCCUUUCAGACAUAACAAGGAAUAACUGUUUGAGAUGGAGCCACAUAAUAAAAAAAUAACGUGGACCAUAGUAAAAUUUACGGAUAACUCAUCUGUAGCUGCAAGUCCCAACCACUUGGCUGAAUGAUGGAAACUUUUUCAGCUGAAAAAUUAACAGCAGCUAUAAGUGCACAUGAAAUAGACACUUAUUGGCCUUCACAUGAGAUUUUAAUCUGAAACAGAUUGUUACACAACUGCUAGAGCCUAAGCGUGAAAGGCAGAAUAUACAAGCGACUUAAAUACUGAUCCCAAACAAGGAGGAAGAUAUUCAAAAAAAUAACUGCCUCGGUAAGUGAAGAAGAGGAGGACUUUAUUCCAAAAAAACCAAAGCCCACAAUGCCUUCUCUCGAUUCAAAUAAACCAGAUAAAUGAAUUUGUAUUUUGAUGAUUAAUAUCUGUAUUUAAUUUCAAUUUUUUCAGCAACUGUACUUGAUCCAAUAACAGUACCAGAAGUAUUAACAGAGAGAUAUAGAAGGACGGGGCUGGGAAUGAAAAAUUCUAACAUAAAGAAUCUCUGACGACAGGUAGGAUAGAGCCUCAUUCUACUAAGACUCCCUUCAAUAAAGAAAUUUUGAGGCAGCUGUUUUCCUCAGGAGUGUAGUGAUGGAAUUGUCACAUGACGUGAAAAAUUUGAAAACUGGCAGUUCCACUAAUGCUGGCUGUAUUCGGGUUCGGUUUUCUGACAGUCCGAGAAUUGUUCUAGGACUGCGCAAAACUGUUGCGCCCUAGUUCUGAUAACAGAAAAGAAUACCGACAUAUUUUCCAUUGUUGAAAUUGGUGUACGAGGGAGAGCCUGGAAAUUAUUAAAUUUCAUGGCUCUAAACUAGUGGCCGGUUUCUGCCGUGUGAAUCGUGAACACGGAGGUGUCGCUAUUUUUGCGAGAGACUGUUUGGACACUCAGGAAAUAAAGGUGAUGAAGUUCACUGAGGAGAUGCUGUGUGAGUGUAGUGCGGUUAAGUUAAUGAUUGGGGAGAGUGCAUUUGGGGUCAUCAGUGUAUACAGACCACACUCAGACAAAUUUGAAUCGUUUAUCUCACACUUGUCGAAUAUAUUACAUCACUGUUUCAAACAGGUCGAGCAUAUCUUUCUCUGUGGUGAUCUAAAUGUUGAUUAUCUUCAGGUGAGUUCGAAACAGACUCAACUUCUGAAUGAUUUAUUCGACUGUUUCCAACUGAAAAUCACUUCAUCGCAACCAACAAGGGUUUUCACAAAUAUAUUAGGUCAGACAUCCUCCUCAAAAAUCGAUUAUAUUCUAACAAAUAAAGACAUGAAAGAUUGUAAAGCUGACGUAUUUCCGGUUCAAUUUGGCGAUCAUAAAUCUUUCUUAGUAGAUGUUUUCGUUGAAAAUAAAGUGAGGCAUGAAAAUGGUCCUCAACGUAAAUUGUGCAGAAAUAUGUCACCUCAAAAUCUGUUGAAUUUGGCUGAAGAUGUUUCUAACUAUUCCUUCGCAGAUUUACCUAUAUGAAAAUUCAGAUGUAAAUAUUAUGUUUCAGACAUUUGUUGAUACGAUAAGAAGCCUCAUUGAGUAUCACUGUCCACUAGUAUAUAAUAAUGUAAGAACCAACAUAACAAAAAAUUGGAUAACACCCAGAAUAAGAGAAGCUAGUGAAGAAUUGAAACAUCUUCAUUGGCUUAACAAUAAUUUGAAAACUAGUCAAUUACAAAAACUGUACAAGGACGCAAAGAAUGCUUUCAACCAUAUGAUAAAGAUAACUAAGUUAAGCUUUUUUGAACACAUGAUUAGAAUAUCUGAUAAUAAAAAUAAAAUGGUUUGGAGAAUAGUGAAUAUGGAAACUGCAAAAAAAAACUAAAAAUAAUAAUAGUAAAUUUAAAUUGAUUAUUGGUGGUGUAGGGAUUUCUGACGAUGUAGAUGUAGCCAAUUCUUUUGCGAAAUAUUUUUCUGAGAUUGCUAAAUUGAGCCUAGAACGGAAUUACGGUAAUGCACUAAGUCAAAUUUGUACAACCUCUUCUAUUCGCAAUCAUUCUUUCUACUUCCAUCCCGUAGAUAGGAUUGAAGUUAUUGGUGCAAUAAAUCAAUUGAAGAAUAAAAAAUCGACUGGUCAUGAUUUGGUUUCUGUGAGGAUAAUAAAACUAAUAGCGGGUGAUAUUUCUGAACAUCUCGCGCAUCUUGUUAAUGAAUCAGUUUCCUAUGGCGUUUUUCCAAAUUGUUUCAAACUAGCAACUGUAAUUCCAAUACACAAGAAGGAUGAUGUGAAUGAUGUGGCCAACUAUCGCCCAAUUUCUUUAUUAAGUGUAUUUUCGAAAGUCAUAGAAAGAAUAAUACUAGACCGCAUGAUGUCAUACUUGGUUAAAUUCAAUGUUAUUGCCGAUUGUCAACAUGGCUUCAGAUCUAAACGCUCAACUGGGACUGCUAUAGUAGAUUUUAUUCAGUUCGUUCAGUCAUCUUUGGAUGAAGGUUAUGCUGUUGCCGGUCUCUUUUUCGAUUUGUCGCGAGCUUUUGAUACCAUUGAUCCUAAUUUCCUCGAAAGUAAACUUUAUAAUCUUGGAUUUCGGGGUACUUUCUUGGGAUGGAUUGUAAGUUUCGUGACCCAUCGUAAAUUAACUGUGAGGGUGGGAGAUCAAUGCUCUUCUGAAUUUGCUGUUGAACUCGGUGUUCCACAAGGUUCGGUACUAGGACCAUUACUAUUUAUUUUAUUUAUAAAUGAUUUAUCGGAACAUAUAGAGAUGGCCAAAAUUGUAAUAUUUGUAGAUGAUACCUCAUUUGUUGUGAGAGCAAAGAGUUUAGGCGAGCUCAUUGAUCUGUGUGAAUUGUUAUUGAAAAACUUCACAUCAUGGUGUCAGGCAAAUAGACUUAUACUAAUGUGGGUAAAACUGAAGUGAUAAAAUUCGAACUGAGAGAGUCCUCUCCGUUAAGUCUGAGUUCUGGAAAAGAGGUUCUCCAUUCCAAACAUUCCACAAAGUUCUUAGGUGUAAUAGUCGAUAGCAAUUUGAGAUGGUGCGAACAUGUUGCCCAUGUUAGUAAAAAACUCUCCUCUUCUUUUUACGCUAUACGCAGACUGAGGAGCUCGCUUCCACUCGAAGCAUUAUUGAAUGUCUAUUAUGGUCUAGUUUAUUCUCAGCUGUCAUAUAACAUUGAGGUCUGGGGCAACUCAAUUGACUCCAUGAGAUUACUCAUUGCACAGAAACGUAUCUUACGUUUGAUUUUUGGUCUUAGCUCACGAACAUCUUGUAAACCUAUCUUUCGUAAACAUAAAAUUCUGACUGUUCCAUGUAUCUAUAUUUAUAAAUGUCUUCUCCACACUAGGGAUAAUGAAAACCUCUAUGUUAAACUCUCCAGCUUCCAUCAUUAUAAUACAAGAAAUGUAAGCUUGUUGUCCAUACCUAAGCAUAACACCAGCAAAUUUGAAUCAUCUCCAACUUAUAUAUGUAUCAGGUUAUUCCAUAAACUACCAGAAGGUAUAAAAAUUCUCGACAAAAAGUGUUUUCGUGCAGCAGUAAAAGCAUUGUUGUACGAGAAAUGUUACUAUAGUGUAGAUGAAUUUCUUUGUGAUACUUUUUAGGAAUUAAGGAUUUUUGCCUUGCUCUCUUUUUCUGCUAGAUGAAUAUGUUCGUUCUAUGCAAUUUCCAGACUUGUCCUAUACAUUGUUAAAUGUCUCACAGGAUAAAUAAAGAUUUAUUAUUAUUAUUAUUAUUAAAUCCUCUGCGCAGUUCUAGAACCAUUCUCGGACUGUCCGAAUACAGCUAAUGAAACUACUGUUUUGAGAAUCCAAUUCUAAAAAGUUGGUGGGAUACACCCUUCUGUACAGAAGAGGAUUCAUUAAGUUUCAAUCAGUUUUUGAAAAAUAACGAGAAUUAAAAAAAAAGAUGCUACUGUUAGGUAUAACAAAUGCAAAGAUAAAAAAGAAGCUGAGCAAGAAGUGAGCAGAUGGCUAAGGAGAGCCUCAGAUCAUCUGAGGGGUUCCGCUGCAAGACCACUAGGUUUGGAGCCAAGUCUCAAAGAAUGUGGAACUAAUUCUUGAAUUGUUUGAGCUCAGAGAAUAUAUGCUGAAAUUUA